UGGGCGUAAANNAGCUCGUAGGCGGUUUGUCGCGUCUGCCGUGAAAGUCCGGGGCUCAACUCCGGAUCUGCGGUGGGUACGGGCAGACUAGAGUGAUGUAGGGGAGACUGGAAUUCCUGGUGUAGCGGUGAAAUGCGCAGAUAUCAGGAGGAACACCGGUGGCGAAGGCGGGUCUCUGGGCAACAACUGACGCUGAGGAGCGAAAGCGUGGGGAGCGAACAGGAUUAGAUACCCUGGUAGUCCACGCCGUAAACGUUGGGCGCUAGGUGUGGGGCUCAUUCCACGAGUUCCGUGCCGCAGCUAACGCAUUAAGCGCCCCGCCUGGGGAGUACGGCCGCAAGGCUAAAACUCAAAGGAAUUGACGGGGGCCCGCACAAGCGGCGGAGCAUGUUGCUUAAUUCGAUGCAACGCGAAGAACCUUACCUAGGCUUGACAUGCACGGAAAUCUCGCAGAGAUGCGGGGUCCGUAAGGGCCGUGCACAGGUGGUGCAUGGUUGUCGUCAGCUCGUGUCGUGAGAUGUUGGGUUAAGUCCCACAACGAGCGCAACCCUCGUUCCAUGUUGCCAGCACGUAAUGGUGGGGACUCAUGGGAGACUGCCGGGGUCAACUCGGAGGAAGGUGGGGAUGACGUCAAAUCAUCAUGCCCCUUAUGUCUAGGGCUGCAAACAUGCUACAAUUGGCCGGUACAAAAGGGCUGCGAUACCGCGAGGUGGAGCGAAUCCAAAAAGCCCGUCCUAGUUCGGAUUGGGGGUCUGCACUUNGUCCUCAUGAAGUUGGAGUCGCUAUUAAUCGCAGAUCACCCACCCCCUGCCGGGGAAUACGUUUCCGGGGCCUUGUA
rnacentral:rRNA from 1 species